UCAGAACGAACGCUGGCGGCAGGCCUAACACAUGCAAGUCGAACGGAUCCUUCGGGAUUAGUGGCAGACGGGUGAGUAACGCGUGGGAAGCUACCUUGUGGUAGGGAACAACAGUUGGAAACGACUGCUAAUACCCUAUGAGCCCUAUGGGGGAAAGAUUUAUCGCCAUGAGAUGUGCCCGCGUUAGAUUAGCUAGUUGGUAAGGUAAUGGCUUACCAAGGCGACGAUCUAUAGCUGGUCUGAGAGGAUGAUCAGCCACACUGGGACUGAGACACGGCCCAGACUCCUACGGGAGGCAGCAGUGGGGAAUAUUGGACAAUGGGGGCAACCCUGAUCCAGCCAUGCCGCGUGAGUGAUGACGGCCUUAGGGUUGUAAAGCUCUUUCAGCAGUGAAGAUAAUGACAUUAACUGCAGAAGAAGCCCCGGCUAACUUCGUGCCAGCAGCCGCGGUAAUACGAAGGGGGCUAGCGUUGUUCGGAAUCACUGGGCGUAAAGCGUACGUAGGCGGACUGAUCAGUCAGGGGUGAAAUCCCGGGGCUCAACCCCGGAACUGCCUUUGAUACUGUCAGUCUUGAGAUCGAGAGAGGUGAGUGGAACUCCGAGUGUAGAGGUGAAAUUCGUAGAUAUUCGGAAGAACACCAGUGGCGAAGGCGGCUCACUGGCUCGAU
rnacentral:rRNA from 1 species